rnacentral:lncRNA from 1 species
UUAUUGUAUUUCACAUCGGCCAUUCCUCUCAUUCUUCUCUCUCUAGCGGUGCAAAUCCUAGUCAGCUUCUCUCCACCCAUUUUCUUCUACCUCUGUCGCCGACUCUCCACCCCUCAACCGCAACCCACCUCUGUGAAAGCUCGCCGUGAUGUAUACUCCAAACCCCACUUCGAUUUGUGCGGAAUUUGACCCUUUAAUGAUCAAUUCCGUCGAAAUCGAUCCUCUAAGCGAUGGCUACGACUCCGAUUUGCAAUAUUCCGAUGGAUCUGAAAAUUUGCUAGAUCUUGGUGGCUACUUUCCCAUUCUCUUCGAGAGGGCAGAUAGGAGGUGGUUCAAGAGGGGUUUGAUGCCAAAUACACUGGUUCCGGAAAUCGAUGUACCAGAGACCGUGGUUCCUGAAACCGAUCUGCCGGAGCCGGUGGUUGGUAAAGAGGAAGAGGCAAAAAUUGCGGGGAAACUCGUGUAUGGAUUCUAGAGGGUGCUAGAUCUAAUGUUGGGAAUCUAUUUUCCCUUCUACAAACGGGUGAGGAAAUUCCUUUUACUUGUAAGCCUCUAGAAAUUGUUGUUUUUUGUUGCAUGUGUAAUGAGAAAGAGCAUGAUGUGGAUUUGAGGUUGAAAUCUAGUUGUGGCUAUGAUGAUGUUAUGUUGGCUCCUGAUUUUGCAUUCGUGAACCCUAAUUUGUGUUGCCAUUUUGGCCAUAAAACCACAUCGAUGAUUCCAUACGAGGAGAUGUGUUUAAGGCUGUCAUCUUAUGUAGCCCCGUUUCGUUAAGCCUUCAUGUGUUUUUGCUUCUGCCUUGUGUAUUCUGUGAUGAGUUGCUUUGUUCUCAACUUGAUGUUUUGUGAUGGGUUGCUAUGUUUUGAGCUUGUUGUUGUCUGCACUGUUCUUUCCCUGACUCUUUGAAUUGCUUGUUGUUGGCUUUGAAUUGCUGCCUUGUUAUUUUACAAAAUGUUGCAUCAUUUUUUACAUUGAUUGAGCAUGUAAUGUUACAAAAAAUAGGCCUCAGUCCUUACAAAAAGGAGUGACUAAGGCCUUUGGUUUUUUACAACUAAGAUUUUUCAAAAUGUACCAAAGGAUUCUAAACUAUAGACUAAGUCAGCCACAUUUGAUGCAUUACAAAAGAGUUUAAAUCUAGGCUUUCAUUAAAGUGAGUUGACCGUGAUGUUCAUAGCCCAAGUCUUCCAUGAUGUCUUACAUUCUUUCUUCUUCCCCUGACUGUAUCAUGUGUGACGAGUUCAGAAAUAAUUCCAAUAAUAAAAAUAUAAAAAAUAUAAGACGACAUAAGAAUAUACAUGGUUCGAUCAUAUUGAUCUACGUUCACGGAGGUUGCCCCAGUAUUUUACUAUAGUUUGUGUGUGAUUACAUUUACAUAAUUGAGAGAUGAAUAGAGCAUAGCCUAAAAAUACUUAUAAAGCCCUAUUUAUAAGCUAUAAAGUAAACUUGACCCCUAAAGCCCAUUCAUUAAUACUUGGGUUCAUUAACUCAACAAUUAGGCCCAAGCCUUAUUACACUAAUCUUCGUCCUGGAAUUGAGCUGGCACGAGACAUAGCUGGAAGACAGAGCUAAGCUUUUCCAAGGCGAGAGCCAGGUUAAGCUGCCACGAUAACUCUCGAUUGAUAAAGUCACUUGUCAAGUCAGCGCUGCAUCAAAUAAUAAUAAUAAUAAUAAUAAUAAUAAUAAUAAUAAUAAUAAUAAUAAUAAUAAUAAUAAUAAAGAGAAAUAUUUCAACCCUGUUAAGCACAUCGUUGGUGCGUAUUUUACUCCUCAUCAGCUACUUCUCCCCCAGUCUGGUUGAACUGUGUCUCCUUCGUGUUCAACCAGUGAAGUUAUUGCUAGAGCCAAUGUUGUGCUGCUCUCCCAAGUCUACCUAACAACCAUGAUAUUUUAGCUCCGCCACUCACUUAAGACGAGAUGUUUUCACUUUGCACAGUAGCAAAGUCAAAAUACUUCGGCCCUGCAACCCCGUAACUCAUCAAAGAUUAAAUAUUUUAGCUUUGCAAAACAAUCAAAGACAAAAUAUUCUAGCCCUGCAAAUUAUCAAUCACAUAAGAAUUUUUAGCUCUGUAAAUCAACAAAGAUAAGAAUUUUUCCUUGAUUUUAGAGUCGUCGUUGCAGGCUUGAUUUCCAUUUUGAUUUUUGAACAUCGUCAAAGGUGAUCAACUUUCAUUUCUUUGAGCGCAUAAGAAGACCAACACUUGAGAGGUGAGCAAUAUGAAUACUUUGUGUUGGGCGAAUAAGAAGGUCGUCACAAGAAGAUACCGAUAUUAUAUGUAACCUCGUCAAGGCAGAGAGACAUAAUAUUUUGAUAGUGUGAGAAAGACCAACAUAGAUAAUUAUCAAAUCUGAUCGACAUACUCUAUUAUUGGGUGCGUGAGAAGACUAGUGCGUGAUAGUACCGAUACUUGAUUGAGAGUGUCCUUUAUUGAGUUCCAAAGAGUAAAGAUAGCAGACAAGAAAUAUCAUCGUUGGACGUUUCAGGAACACACUAUAGAAGUGGCUUUAUUCACCGUUGGGUGAUUUAGAACCCAAUCAUAUCACACGGGGAUAGCUUUAAGAAUGAACAUAUCACACCCUAAUGAGGACUCCCGAUGGUACAGCCCUGAGAAGGACUCCCGAUGGUACAACCUGUAAUACCCCGUAUAUUUUAUAAUAUUUUUAUUAGUAUAUAUAUUUGUUAAAGGAAUUAAAUAGCUUGAGAUGUUAUUUAAUUAAUUGAGUAUUGGUUACUAAUGAGUUUAUUGAUUUAAGUAAUCAAUAUUAAUUAUUAAAUCAAUAGUGAGAAUAAUAGGUGAAUAUUUAUUUACUUGUUUCUUCAUGGAUGUGAAUAGUUUUGAUAGAAUAGUGGGUGAUUAGCUCUAUUAAUUUAGUAGUUGGAAAAUAUUUCUUUAAGUUUGUUUUUAAUUUAUUAAUUUCAAUAAACAAUUAGCUAGUGUGUUAACUACCUUUCCAAUAGAUGAGAUAUUAAAGUUACAUUUUAUUUAUUAUUAUUUCCUAAGUGGGCCGAUCAGUAGAGGGCACCAAAUUGGAUUCUAAAUUACAUUGCAUCAAAUGUUUUAAUUCUUAGGGCACAAGUCCCCCCCAAAAAAGGGGAUAGUUAAAUAAGUGUAUUAGAAUUGAGAAAUCUCAUUUUCCCUUGUUCCUGGACUCUUGACUUUUCUCCCAAAAGAAAACAGAACCAUCAUCUUCCUUUUUCAAGUUGAAUUCGUAGAGAAAUCUCAAGCAGAAGCUGCACUACUUUAAAAGAAAAGGUGAAUUUCUUCGAUUCUCUAUUUUCCUACAAGUAUAGCAUGAAGAAAAUUUAUGUUUUAAAAUCUAGGGUUUUCGAAAAAUUUGGGGAUUUAAUGUUAGAGUUGAAGUAUGGUAUAAAUAUUGAGAUAUAUUAUGUUUUUGAUGUUCCUAAGCCGGAUUAUGGUGAUUAAUUGUGUUAAUUGUUACUUAAUUUUGAUUUUACGCAAGUUAGUAUAAAUCCUAGGUUUGAGUUCGAAAAUUUUGAUUAUGUUCUUGAGUAAUUGAGUUCAUAUAUGUGUUCUUGAGCUGGAACUAUGUCAUAUAUGAGUAUAUUAUGAGUUUACACCACAUAGUUUGGGAGAUUGAUUUUGUUAGUUUAGUGAAAAUUAGGGCUUUCAGUUAAGAAGGUUCACAUGCUAUUGUUUGAUGGAGAUAUGUAUAUUAUGAUGUGAUUUUAUUAAUUAUUAAGGUUAGAAUAGCCCUACUACCCAAUUCUUUUGUAAAGUUCUAUUGUAUAAACAGUAGGGAAGUGAUAAAGUUGCUAGUUUUAUGCAUAUAGUUGAGAUUAGUAGCAUUGAUUGAGUUUAAUUUUAGCUCAUUGAGGUUUCUUUUUAAAGAGAUUGAGAUGAUUAAUAAUGUUAGUUUAUUAAACUAUAUAUGCGUAUUUAUUGAGAAUUGAUGAACAUCUCUUAACUCAUUCUUUUAUUUUUCUCAUUGAGUUAAGAGGAGUAAAUGGUGUUAUUGUAUUGAUGAUAUGAUGUGAGGAAAUGUUAGGAUAAUAAGUGAAUAGCAAAUAUGAGUUAUUGUUGUAAUAUUAUAUAUAUAUAUAUAUUUCCUUACUUAUUUUUCUUACAAAAAAAAUCUUUAUCUAUUUAAAGGUUCCGGCUAGGAACGAGCCUGACACUAGAGUACGAAGUAAGAGAAACAUAUCAGGUGGGCUUACUAACUCAAGAAACAAAGAUGCAUACUUUAUUAUAUAAAGUUUAAGUGUAUGCAUUUAUUUUCAAAUUGUUGACUUGCCAAUAUUUUAGAUUUGUAUGAUACCAUCUACAUAGAAGAACGAAUUCGGGUCCUGAGCGAGUCAGGAUUUGUGUACACAGAGUGACGGUUAACCUUGAGUUAACUUGUCGUUACGUUUGGGAAGGAGGCCUACUUCUCAACGUGUUUAUAGAGAUUAGUAGAUAUGGUACAUACUUGUAUGAGAACUUAGUCUGCGCAGACACUUUCAAUUACUAUGUAAAAACAGUUUAGCAAACACAGGUUGCUUUAGAAAUCACUUGUGUAUUGCUUAAAGUGGCAAGUUCAAUAUAUAGCAUUAUCAUGCAGAGUUUCAAAUGUUUUCGGCACAUGUUCACUGAGUGCUUUUGGUACUCAGCCCUGCAUAUCUUUCUAAAUGUGCAGGUUAAGUUGGGAUGAAGAUGGAAGUGUGCUGAGCUGGAGCUUUUUCGUUUAUGUAAAUAAUAAUAGGCUCAGGAUGUUGUGUCUUCAUACAUAAUGUCCAAUGAUGUACUCCGCUGCAACACUUUAUUUCUCUUAUCACUUUUGACGUGUUGUAGAAUGUUUUAAAACCUUAACCUGUAUAUGAGCUUGACAAAUCUUGGUUAUGAUGUUUAUUUCGUUUAAACUUCUUUUGUGAAAGUUUGAUGGUGACGAACCUCUUGAAAUUCAUUGAUUAUAUAUGUGAGUUGUUAAUUAUUUAUUUGUCUUAGUUUCCUUUCAAUUACUUUCCAUCUCUCGUUUCUCCACCCUAGUCGUACGAUACCUGGUCUAGCUAUCUUUCUCCUAGGCCGGGCUGCGACAAAGUGGUAUCAGAGCAGGCCCUUUGCUCUGAGCCUAAUUUAUUUUGAGUUUAGUCUAGAUUGUAUCUCUAGACUACUAGAAUAUUAAUGAUGAAUGCUCAGCACACCAUCUCAUCCAGCUUAAUCAGGUAUGGGUUUAAAUUAUUUCCAUUCAAAAAAAAAUUAUUUUGAUGUGAUUUAAAGAGUUUGAGAUUCUGAUGAAUGAAGUGAUGGAUAUAUUUAUGAGAUUAUUUUGGAUUAUUGUUUAUUUUAAACUUUUUAUGAUUUUGUAAGUGAUUUGGAUGAGUAUUUAAUUAUUCAAGUAUGUGUUAUUUGAGUGAACUAUUUCAUGAUUUGGGAUAUUUAUUAGGAGUUAGUUUUUAUGGGUAUUAUGUUAAGCUAAGUUGUAAAGUUAUAUUGGGCAGGAUGGCUCGUACCCUACGUACCGCAAGGAAGAGGGUUAGUACUAGAGCGACACGGGAUGAGAUUCGUUGGGAGUACCUCCACUAUGGCAUGUGCUGUAGAGACACAUUGGGGGAAUUUCUUGCCCACUUCCACGAGCACUGGUUGGCAGCUAGCAUGUAUGGGAUCUCCUCGUAUGAUGGCAUUAUUCGACUGACUCUACUUCCAUCCGACUGGAAGGGUUGGGCGACCUCCAUUGCCUCAGACUACUUAUACUAUUAUGGCGAGGAGUACGGCCUGUAUGUAGAUUUUCCAGGUUUCGUAGCCGCGGUUAGUUAUCAGUAUUUCUGCUAUGGGGCAGCUCCUUAUGGACCAUACACGUUACCAGGAGACUACAUCCAAGCUGGAGGAGGAAUUGCCGAUUUCUUACCACGAGAUGACCCUGCUCCGUAUGUGCCGCCCGAGCCAGUUCAGGUGGCCCCACUCCUUGAGUCUGACACUGAUGACGAGAUAGUUGCCCUACUUCGUUCUCCUACACCGAUUUACAUAGUGGUUUCCUCUGAUAGUGAGACAACUCCUCAACAAACACUUACGUCCGACUGUACCAUCUUCAAAACCCGCACCUGCAACAAGUUUGAAGCUGGACCUUCCAGAUUGCCUGGUGUACCUCGAGACCAUAUGGAUUCUCCCGGGAUGCAGCCGACUGUUGGAACUAUACGUCGAGAGCCGAUAGAUCUAAAUCAAGUGGAUGUGGUAGUCGACUCGGAUGAUAAACACGAGGCAGAGACAUACAGUCAGAUGAUGCAUGUUUUCUUGAGGAGGGAUUGUGCAGGUAACGAUGUGAGAGUUCACGAGGUUCCACGACAUGAGGGCGAGAUAGAGACGGAGCCUAGUGAGUCCAGUGCAGCAUGAGCAGAUGUUAGCUACUCUUUGAUGAUGGUUAGAUAGGAGGUGUAGUAACUUUAUGUAUGUACAUAGAUGUAUAUAGCUAUGUGUGGUGUGUAGAUGUAUAUAUGUGUUUUGAUGAUACGGAUGCGGAGUCUAGCAGACCGCACCGUGGUAUAGUACUAGUUGUGAUGUUUAUAUAGUAGAACAUCAGGAUUAGUACUAGGGAUUUUUGUUGUACAUAUCCCUGCUAUUUUGUAAAAGUCCUCCGAGGAGGCAUCUUUCACCUGAUAUAUGAUGAUGACCUACGCGGUCAUUUAGCAAAUUUCAUGAGUUACUAUUUGUUGAGUUAAAUGUGAAUUGCUUAAGUAUGAGUUAUUUUGCAAUGAUGAUGUAUUUAAUAUAGACUUUAUGUAUUGAUAAUAGAAUGCCGCCUAAAAGAAGAAAUCGAGAACUAGCAGGUGUAUAUGAUCAGGAACCUACACCACCUCCAUCUCCACCACCUG